CUCGUAGGUGGCCAACUAAGUCAGACGUGAAAUCCCUCAGCUUAACUGGGGAACUGCGUCUGAUACUGGAUGGCUUGAGUUUGGGAGAGGGAUGCGGAAUUCCAGGUGUAGCGGUGAAAUGCGUAGAUAUCUGGAGGAACACCGGUGGCGAAGGCGGCAUCCUGGACCAAUACUGACACUGAGGAGCCGAAAAGGCCAGGGGAAGCAAACG
rnacentral:rRNA from 1 species